GUUCUAUAUGUUCUGAUUUGACUCAAGCAAGAUAUAAAUACAUGUAAUAUGGUAUUGUCAAAUAAAAGUAUUAAUAAGUAUUAAAAACAUAAACCUUGUAGACCACACAAGAUGCAAUUCUGACAAUAAAUAUGACAUAAAGCCAGAAUAUUUAGAAAAAAAAAAGCUAAAGUAACUGUCGAAGAGCUGGAUCUAAAGCUGAACCACUUCAGGACAACAAAAAUCAGAGAAAUAAAAAAAAACAUAACGAAAACAUUAACAUGUCACGAUAUAGAAAAUGAAUGGAAAUGGGGUAAGUGUCAAAGAGAACAAUUAACCCACCCCAAAUAUACAAAACAACUAGGCAUCACUAUACAGAUACAGUCUGAUUUAAAAAGUGUUAUAAUGAAACAGUACUGAAGAAAUUAGUAACGAAAC
rnacentral:lncRNA from 1 species